rnacentral:rRNA from 1 species
UACGUAGGGUGCGAGCGUUAAUCGGAAUUACUGGGCGUAAAGCGUGCGCAGGCGGUUUUGAAAGACAGGCGUGAAAUCCCCGGGCUUAACCUGGGAACUGCAUUGGUGACUGCAUUGCUAGAGUAUGGCAGAGGGGGGUGGAAUUCCACGUGUAGCAGUGAAAUGCGUAGAGAUGUGGAGGAACACCGAUGGCGAAGGCAGCCCCCUGGGCCAAUACUGACGCUCAUGCACGAAAGCGUGGGGAGCAAACAGG